GAUGAAGAACGUAGCGAAAUGCGAUAAGUAGUGUGAAUUGCAGAAUUCAGUGAAUCAUCGAAUCUUUGAACGCACAUUGCGCCCCUUGGUAUCCCGAGGGGCAUGCCUGUUCGAGCGUCAUUUCACCACUCAAGCCUGGCUUGGUGUUGGGCGACGUCCCCUUUGGGGACGCGCCUCGAAACGCUCGGCGGCGUGGCACCGGCUUAAGCGUAGCAGAAUCUUUCGCUUUGGAAGUCGGGGCCCCGUCUGCCGGAAGACCUACUCGCAAGGUUGACCUCGGAUCAGGCAGGGAUACCCGCUGAACUUAAGCAUAUCAAUAAGCGGAGGA
rnacentral:misc_RNA from 1 species